rnacentral:tRNA from 1 species
GGAUUGUGGCUCAGUGGUAGAGCGCUCGCCUAGCACAGGUGGAACUUGGGUUCGAUCCUCAGCACCA